rnacentral:tRNA from 1 species
GAAGGGUUAGCUUAAGUUCUAAAGCGAUUGACUGUUAAUUAAUAAAUGGGAGGGUAGCCCCACCCUUCG